rnacentral:rRNA from 1 species
AAUAGAUACCCGGGUAGUCCACGCCGUAAACGAUGGAUACUAGCUGUUGGGGGGCGACCUCAGUGGCUAAGCGAAAGUGAUAAGUAUCCCACCUGGGGAGUACGUUCGCAAGAAUGAAACUCAAAGGAAUUGACGGGGGCCCGCACAAGCGGUGGAGCAUGUGGUUUAAUUCGAUGAUACGCGAGGAACCUUACCAAGGCUUAAAUGCAGACUGACCGUUUUGGAAACAGAACUUUCGCAAGACAGUCUACAAGGUGCUGCAUGGUUGUCGUCAGCUCGUGCCGUGAGGUGUCAGGUUAAGUCCUAUAACGAGUCGCAACCCCUGUUGUUAGCUGCCAGCGAGUAGUGUCGGGAACUCUAACAAGACUGCCAGUGCAAACUGUGAGGAAGUGGGGAUGACGUCAAAUCAUCACGGCCCUUACGCCUUGGGCUACACACGUGCUACAAUGGCCGGUACAGAGAGCAGCCACCGUCGCGAGGGGGAGCGAAUCUACAAAGGCCGGUCACAGUUCGGAUCGGAGUCUGC